rnacentral:rRNA from 1 species
UAAGUAAGCUUUGAUCCAGAGAUUUCCGAAUGGGGAAACCCAGCAUGAGUUAUGUCAUGUUAUCGAUAUGUGAAUACAUAGCAUAUCAGAAGGCACACCCGGAGAACUGAAACAUCUUAGUACCCGGAGGAAGAGAAAGAAAAUUCGAUUCCCUUAGUAGCGGCGAGCGAAACGGGAAGAGCCCAAACCAACAAGCUUGCUUGUUGGGGUUGUAGGACACUCUAUACGGAGUUACAAAGGACGACAUUAGACGAAUCAUCUGGAAAGAUGAAUCAAAGAAGGUAAUAAUCCUGUAGUCGAAAAUGUUGUCUCUCUUGAGUGGAUCCUGAGUACGACGGAGCACGUGAAAUUCCGUCGGAAUCUGGGAGGACCAUCUCCUAAGGCUAAAUACUCUCUAGUGACCGAUAGUGAACCAGUACCGUGAGGGAAAGGUGAAAAGCACCCCGGAAGGGGAGUGAAAUAGAACCUGAAACCGUGUGCUUACAAGUAGUCAGAGCCCGUUAAUGGGUGAUGGCGUGCCUUUUGUAGAAUGAACCGGCGAGUUACGAUUUGAUGCAAGGUUAAGCAGUAAAUGUGGAGCCGUAGCGAAAGCGAGUCUGAAUAGGGCGUUUAGUAUUUGGUCGUAGACCCGAAACCAGGUGAUCUACCCUUGGUCAGGUUGAAGUUCAGGUAACACUGAAUGGAGGACCGAACCGACUUACGUUGAAAAGUGAGCGGAUGAACUGAGGGUAGCGGAGAAAUUCCAAUCGAACCUGGAGAUAGCUGGUUCUCUCCGAAAUAGCUUUAGGGCUAGCCUCAAGUGAUGAUUAUUGGAGGUAGAGCACUGUUUGGACGAGGGGCCCCUCUCGGGUUACCGAAUUCAGACAAACUCCGAAUGCCAAUUAAUUUAACUUGGGAGUCAGAACAUGGGUGAUAAGGUCCAUGUUCGAAAGGGAAACAGCCCAGACCACCAGCUAAGGUCCCAAAAUAUAUGUUAAGUGGAAAAGGAUGUGGCGUUGCCCAGACAACUAGGAUGUUGGCUUAGAAGCAGCCAUCAUUUAAAGAGUGCGUAAUAGCUCACUAGUCGAGUGACACUGCGCCGAAAAUGUACCGGGGCUAAACAUAUUACCGAAGCUGUGGAUUGUCCUUUGGACAAUGGUAGGAGAGCGUUCUAAGGGCGUUGAAGCAUGAUCGUAAGGACAUGUGGAGCGCUUAGAAGUGAGAAUGCCGGUGUGAGUAGCGAAAGACGGGUGAGAAUCCCGUCCACCGAUUGACUAAGGUUUCCAGAGGAAGGCUCGUCCGCUCUGGGUUAGUCGGGUCCUAAGCUGAGGCCGACAGGCGUAGGCGAUGGAUAACAGGUUGAUAUUCCUGUACCACCUAUAAUCGUUUUAAUCGAUGGGGGGACGCAGUAGGAUAGGCGAAGCGUGCGAUUGGAUUGCACGUCUAAGCAGUAAGGCUGAGUAUUAGGCAAAUCCGGUACUCGUUAAGGCUGAGCUGUGAUGGGGAGAAGACAUUGUGUCUUCGAGUCGUUGAUUUCACAUUGCCGAGAAAAGCCUCUAGAUAGAAAAUAGGUGCCCGUACCGCAAACCGACACAGGUAGUCAAGAUGAGAAUUCUAAGGUGAGCGAGCGAACUCUCGUUAAGGAACUCGGCAAAAUGACCCCGUAACUUCGGGAGAAGGGGUGCUCUUUAGGGUUAACGCCCAGAAGAGCCGCAGUGAAUAGGCCCAAGCGACUGUUUAUCAAAAACACAGGUCUCUGCUAAACCGUAAGGUGAUGUAUAGGGGCUGACGCCUGCCCGGUGCUGGAAGGUUAAGAGGAGUGGUUAGCUUCUGCGAAGCUACGAAUCGAAGCCCCAGUAAACGGCGGCCGUAACUAUAACGGUCCUAAGGUAGCGAAAUUCCUUGUCGGGUAAGUUCCGACCCGCACGAAAGGCGUAACGAUUUGGGCACUGUCUCAACGAGAGACUCGGUGAAAUCAUAGUACCUGUGAAGAUGCAGGUUACCCGCGACAGGACGGAAAGACCCCGUGGAGCUUUACUGUAGCCUGAUAUUGAAAUUCGGCACAGCUUGUACAGGAUAGGUAGGAGCCUUUGAAACGUGAGCGCUAGCUUACGUGGAGGCGCUGGUGGGAUACUACCCUAGCUGUGUUGGCUUUCUAACCCGCACCACUUAUCGUGGUGGGAGACAGUGUCAGGCGGGCAGUUUGACUGGGGCGGUCGCCUCCUAAAAGGUAACGGAGGCGCUCAAAGGUUCCCUCAGAAUGGUUGGAAAUCAUUCAUAGAGUGUAAAGGCAUAAGGGAGCUUGACUGCGAGACCUACAAGUCGAGCAGGGUCGAAAGACGGACUUAGUGAUCCGGUGGUUCCGCAUGGAAGGGCCAUCGCUCAACGGAUAAAAGCUACCCCGGGGAUAACAGGCUUAUCUCCCCCAAGAGUUCACAUCGACGGGGAGGUUUGGCACCUCGAUGUCGGCUCAUCGCAUCCUGGGGCUGUAGUCGGUCCCAAGGGUUGGGCUGUUCGCCCAUUAAAGCGGUACGCGAGCUGGGUUCA